GGGAAAGUUGACUUUGAAUUAAUGGACUGUAAUCAAGAAGAGGAAGAACUUUUAAUUGUGUGUGUUACUCUCGUACCGUUUGCGCCGAGGACUUUUAUUUACUUUACAGGAAAAAAAACGUGGAAUUUUUGCACGUGCUUUAGUGACUGUCGCACACGUUUCAUCUACUUUCACUUUUUUUUUUUUUUUUUUUUUCAAACGUCUUUCGAUAUACAUUUUUUAAAUGGUUCGUACGAUCAAGUCCGGUUGCGGAGACUCACGUGUCACGUUAUCACAUCGUACUCACGUAAUUACACGUCAAACGCGUGCGACUCUUCUGUAACGGCUCUAGAAAUGAAAAGAAUGGUUUUUCACUGAGGUCUUGUAUACAGAGGACAUUUUGCAGGCGCAGGAAGCUACUGGAAAUUCAGACACUGACAACAAUGCGAAAAACGAUAAAAUAUGGAUCACUUCCGGUACGGAUGUAAAGUCCGAGCGAUGGAAGUCCAUUUCACGAAGGUACGACAGAGAGCGAAAUAGAUCCAAGACUUGAACCUGAGCUUGGCUUGGUCUUGACGACUGACCGAUUUCAGUUUUGGAGACUUUCUGACCCCAAGACGCAACUCACUUCUGCAGUUCUCCAGCUGUGAUCCUUGGAGAUUUUUAUCCACUCGAACCGUCCUCUUCACGGUGCGUUGAGACGAUAUAGACACACGU
ensembl:lncRNA